rnacentral:sRNA from 1 species
AUGCUAAUAUUUAACUGAACGUAUAACAUAUGUUGGAUCAAAACAAAA